rnacentral:rRNA from 1 species
AUCUCCUUAAUCGGAGAGGUCCCUUCGGGGACAUUGGUGACAGGUGGGGCAUGGUGGUGGUCGGCUCGGGUCGUGAGAUGUUGGGUUAAGUCCCGCAACGAGCGCAACCCGUGGCUUGAGUCGCGAUCAGUAAGUGGGGGACUAUAGAGAGAAUGCAAGGGAUAACCUGGAGGAAGGGGGGGAUGACGUCAAAUCAUCAUGCCCGUGAUGCUUAGGGCUACACACGUGCUAAAAUGGGUAGUACAGAGGGUUGCCAAGCCGUAAGGUGGAGCUAAUCCCUUAAAGCUACUCUCAGUGCGGAUUGUAGGCUGAAACUCGCCUACAUGAAGGUGGAGUUACUAGUACUCGCAGAUCAGAAUGCUGCGGUGAAUGAGUUGCCGGGUCUUGUACAGACCGUCCGUCACACCACGGGAGUUGGAGACGCCCGAAGCCGAUUAUCUAACCUUUUGGAAGAAGUAGGCGACGGUGGAAUCAAUAACUAGGGCGGAGGCGUAAGAAGGUAGC